rnacentral:lncRNA from 1 species
UCGCCAGCAGACUUCUCUGUCCUCUUCUUCUUCUUCUUCUUCUUCUUCUUCUUCUGGGGUUCGCCAGUUGGAGGAACGUCGCUCGCCUCCUCAGCGCUCCUCUCGACUCCCGAGCCGCCCCUCUUCCUUUUUUUGCCCUUCCCCGCGUUUCUAGCGUCAGAAGGGGGAACCUCACCAAUGCGAGGAACCGUCGUCGAAGGUCCUUCCUCGCUGGCCAGUCCCAGCUGGGCGGCUAACAU